AUACAAAUGUGUGUGUGUGUGUAUAUAUAUAUAUACAUAGUACAGAAAAUGGAGAAAACCUCAGAUCAACAAGCACAUCAACUGGACCACAUUUAUAGCUUAUUAUUUAAUACAGAACAUGGCAUAACAUUUAUGUGACAUAACAAACCUUAUGGCUGUUUCUGCAUCUGGUGCCAAUCAAUGUCUACGAAUAAUUGC